rnacentral:rRNA from 1 species
CUCGAAAGCUAUUUAGGUAGCGCCUCGUGUAUUACUGUUGGGGGUAGAGCACUGUUAUGGCUAGGGGGUCAUCCCGUCUUACCAAACCAUUGCAAACUCCGAAUACCAACAAGUAGAGCACGGGAGACACACUGCGGGUGCUAACGUCCGUAGUCGAGAGGGAAACAACCCAGACCGCCAGCUAAGGUCCCAAAAUUAUGACUAAGUGGAAAACGAAGUGGGAAGGCCUAGACAUCCAGGAGGUUGGCUUAGAAGCAGCCACCCUUUAAAGAAAGCGUAACAGCUCACUGGUUGAGUCGGCCUGCGCGGAAGAUUUACCGGGGCUAAGUCAUAUACCGAAGCUUUGGAUCCUAGUUUACUAGGAUGGUAGCGGAGCGUUCUGUAAGUUGAUGAAGGUGUAUCGUGAGGUAUGCUGGAGAUAUCAGAAGUGCGAAUGCUGACAUAAGUAACGAUAAUGUAGGUGAGAACCCUACACGCCGAAAACCCAAGGUUUUCUCCGCAACGUCAAUCGGCGGAGAGUUAGUCGGUACCUAAGGCGAGGCCGAAAGGCGUAGUCGAUGGAAAACAGGUUAAUAUUCCUGUACCGCUUUUAACUGCGAUGGAGAGACGGAGAAGGUUAGAUCAGCCAGUCAACGGUUAUACUGGUGUAAGUAUGUAGAGAUUACUCUUAGGAAAAUCCGGGAGUAUUUAUUUCGAGAUACGAAUGCGAAGCUUUUUCUUCGGAAUUAGCGAAGUGGUCGAUACCAUGCUUCCAAGAAAAUCUUCUAAGCUUCAGGUUAAAAGUGGCCGUACCCUAAACGGACACACGUGGGUGGGAUGAGAAUUCUAAGGCGCAUGAGAGAACUCAGUUGAAGGAACUAGGCAAAAUGAUACCGUAACUUCGGGAGAAGGUAUGCCUUUGGUAUGUGAAGUCACUUGCUGACUGAGCAGAAGGAGGUUGCAAUAAAAUGAUGGCUGCGACUGUUUACUAAAAACACAGCACUCUGCAAACUUGAAAGAGGAAGUAUAGGGUGUGACGCCUGCCCGGUGCCGGAAGGUUAAUUGAUGGGGUUAGCUUGCUUGCAAGCGAAGCUCUUGAUCGAAGCCCCGGUGAACGGCGGCCGUAACUAUAACGGUCCUAAGGUAGCGAAAUUCCUUGUCGGGUAAGUUCCGACCUGCACGAAUGGCGUAACGAUGGCCAUACUGUCUCCAACCGAGACUCAGUGAAAUUGAAAUUGCUGUGAAGAUGCAGUGUACGCGCGGCUAGACGGAAAGACCCCGUGCACCUUUACUACAGCUUUACACUGAACUUUGAAUCUAAUUGUGUAGGAUAGCUGGGAGCCUUUGAAGCUGAUGCGCUAGCAUUGGUGGAGGCAACCUUGAAAUACCAGCCUAUUAUCUUUGGAGUUCUAACCCAGGACCGUUAUCCGGUUCGGAGACAGUGUAUGGUGGGUAGUUUGACUGGGGCGGUCUCCUCCUAAAGAGUAACGGA